rnacentral:rRNA from 1 species
UACGAAGGGGGCUAGCGUUGCUCGGAAUCACUGGGCGUAAAGGGUGCGUAGGCGGGUUUUUAAGUCAGAGGUGAAAUCCUGGAGCUCAACUCCAGAACUGCCUUUGAUACUGAAAGUCUUGAGUAUGGGAGAGGUGAGUGGAACUGCGGGUGUAGAGGUGAAAUUCGUAGAUAUUCGCAAGAACACCAGUGGCGAAGGCGGCUCACUGGCCCAUAACUGACGCUGAGGCACGAAAGCGUGGGGAGCAAACGGG